rnacentral:rRNA from 1 species
GAUGAACGCUGGCGGCGGGCCUAAUACAUGCAAGUCGAGCGAACAGACGAGGAGCUUGCUCCGCUGACGGUAGCGGGGGACGGGUGAGUAACACGUGGAUAACCUAGCUAUAAGACUGGGAGAACUACGGGAAACCGGAGCUAAGACCGGAUAAUAUAUUGAGGCGCAAGGAUCAAGAGUGAAAGAAGGUUGUGCGGGGACUUAUAGAUGGACACGCGCCGCAUUAGCAAGUUGGUAAGGUAACGGCUUAGCAAGGCUACGAUGCGUAGCCGACCUGAGAGGGUGAUCGGCCACCCUGGAACUGAGACACGGUCCCGACUCCUACGGGAGGCAGCAGUAGGGACUCUUCCGCAAUGGGUGAAAGCCUGACGGUGCAACGCCGCGUGAGUCCUGAAGGUCUUCGGCUCGUAAAACUCUGUUAUUCGGGAAGAACAAAUGUGUAAGUAACUAUGCACGUAUUGACGGUACCUACUCAGAAAGCCACGGCUAACUCCGUG